rnacentral:rRNA from 1 species
AACGUAGGUGGCAAGCGUUAUCCGGAUUUACUGGGCGUAAAGCGUGUGCAGGCGGCGGUUCAAGUGGUGUAUGAAAUCGCCCGGCUUAACCGGGCGGGGUUAUGCCAGACUGGGCCGCUGGAGGACAGGAGAGGGGCGUGGAAUUCCGGGUGUAGUGGUGAAAUGCGUAGAGAUCCGGAGGAACCCCAGCGGCGAAGGCGGCGCCCUGGCCUGUACCUGACGCUCAGACACGACAGCAUGGGGAG